rnacentral:lncRNA from 1 species
GCUCCAUCAAAUUUCUCAGGCAAAGCCACUGGGUACUUGCCCGGAGCCGGGCGUCGGCCCCAGGAGCCGGUAGGGCUUCCAAGCGUUGCUGAAGUGCCACAACCGCGUCGCUGAGCUGCUGCACGGUGUGAUUCAAGGCCUGGUUCUCCUGGGCCAAAGCCACCAGUGCAGCCGCCUGUUCAGCCAUGGCCUCUGGCUCUUCCCGAACGCACCCCUACGAAGGGGAAGUGCGGGUGUGGCGGGAGCAAACUGUGCUGGUCCCGGGGUAAGGUACCUUGGGUGUAGCAGAGUCCACACGAAGAGGGGCAAGGUCCGAGGCAGAGAGCCGGGCGGGGAACAGGAAUGCUGGAACAGGAGGCUGUGCAGGGAACAGGAACACCGGAUGGUCGGGAACAGGAGGCCGAGCAGGGAACAGGAGUACCGGAUAGUCAGGAACAGGAAGCCGAGCAGGGAACAGGAGUACCGGAUAGUCAGGAACAGGAAGCCGAGCAGGGAACAGGAGCACAGGAAGGUCCGAGCCAACAACGACGUUGCUCCCGCAACCUGGGGCCGGGCUGACUGGGCUUUAUCCUCUUCUAAGGCCAGGGCGGUCCCGGUCCCCAGGAGCCCCGCCUCCUCUGGCCUUAAGGCGAGCACUCCUCCUGGGGCAACCAGUUCCCUUCGCCUCUCUGCCCUAAGCCUCUGCAGAUCAGGAGAGGCCGAAGGGUUACUGGGCCCUGGAGGAGGCUCACCUGUGGCCACUGAGUCAUCAAGCCCCUCUGGGGCCAGAAGGGCUUCACCUGGGGCCAGCUCCUGAUGCACUGCCACAGGUGCAGGCUCUUCAGCAUCUAGGCCUUGCCCCAGUUCAGCCGGCCCUGGAGGCGGGGACUCCUGUGCAGGCUGGGAUUCCUCUGUUUCAUCCUCCGAAUCGGAAUCCCAGGCCAUCACACACGCAGAGAUUCCAGAAGACGUGUUUCCGUUAAGGAGCUUUUAUGUUGGAAGCGAUUACGAAAGCAACCACUGUCGGAAUCUGCUAGUGACUAGAGUAGCCAUGUCUGAGGGGCUCUGUCACAGACAGAGGUUUGUGGACUUGAACAAACUCUGAGGGGAUACGAUUUUACGCACAAGCAGCUCAUCAUCCCAUCACAGCAUUCCGACAGUCUUUGAAAGCAGCUUGUGCAGGAGAAGGUAUCAUGAGCAACCCAGCCGGAACCGGAGAAGCAGGAGCUGGAGCGGGUCCAAGCCUGGAAGAAAGGUACCAGAUGUUGGAGGUCCAGCUAGCGAUGCAGACGGCGAGGCUUGAGGAGAGGAGGGCUCAGGAUGCAGACAAAGGGGCACGCCACCCAGUUCGCCAGAAAGGGACCACGAUUGGUGCAGAAGUUUGGGGGGGAGCCCAACAACUAUCAUGGUUUUCGGACAGAAAUGCAAUAUGCCCUCAAUCUGCAGUUUGAUGAAUUCCCUGACGAGGAAUCACGAGUGGCUUUCGUGAUUGAGCAUCUUGAAAAGGGGGCGAGAGACUGGGUUAGACCCCUGAUGGCAGCGAAUAGUGACGUCUUAAAAGACACGAUGAAGUUCUUUCGCGCCAUGGAUCUGAUGUUUUCCAGCGAUAUUGAAAAGGGAGUGGUGCGCAGACAGUUAAUGGGUUGCAAACAGGGGAGCCGAUCUGUCCGUGAGUACUGGACUGAGUUCACCAUGCUUGUUCACAGAUUGGGGUGGGACUUAUCGGCGGAACCCAUUCAAAUGCUCUUUGAAGAAGGGCUUUCUUCGGCUGUGAAAGACGAACUUUCCCGGGCGCCCAGGGCGGAGUCUAUGGACCAGCUGACCAAAUCAGCGCUGGCCAUAGGAGCGCGCCAGGAGGCGAGAGCAUUGGAGAGGCGGGAAGGGAAGGGGAACGUUGGAAGGAGUUCCGCAUUCCAGACAUUCCAGAGCCAACUUUCCCACCGGCAGAGCCGAUGGAAAUCGGAACAGCGCGCGCGCGCAGUUUCAAAGCCCAGAAAUGCUAUCUCUGCCAACAGCCAGGUCACUUUGCCAGAGUCUGCCCCCAGAGGAAAGAAUGGCAAGGGAUGGUAGGGGCUGUGGAUGGAAGAGAGGAAAAUAUACCGGAGCAAGUAAAGCCAACGCCUGGCUGCCACUGUCAGGGCACAGCAGCCAGGCCAAAGAGCAGUGAGAGUGCCCACGCCAGAACCUCCUAAACCCGCCCUAGUGAUAGAAGUGACGCUAGAGCUGCCAAACGGACACCCUCUAAAGAUAAAGGCGCUGUUGGACUCAGGCAGCUCCUGCAAUUUCAUGAGCAAAGAGUUUGCAGCUGAACACCAGAUACAGACAAUCCCUUUAAGCAGCCCCCUGCAGGUGACCACGAUCGAUGGCAGGGAGCUGUUGGGUGGAGAAGUCAGCUUGCAGACCGUCCCAAUGAUAAUGAAGGUAGCAAGGCACACCGAACUGAUAGCUUUUAAUGUGGCCACCUUGGGAGGAGCUCCCAUUAUAUUGGGGAUGAGCUGGCUAGCGUUACAUGAUCCGCUGGUGGGCUGGCAUCAGAGAGUGGUUUCUUUUGGUUCAGCACAUUGCUUAGAACACUGCAAAGAGGGAAAGGGUUUGGCAGGGGUCCAAGCCACCCUAGCAGGGACUGAAGUAACAGAGAACGUGAAGGUACCACGACAAUAUGCAGAUCUCCGUGACGUCUUCAGCGAAAGGGAAGCUGACCAACUACCCCGCAUAGACCCUUUGACUGUCAAAUCAACUUACUCCCUGGAGCACAGCUCCCUGUAGGCAAGCUGUACGCCAUGUCAGACAGAGAGAUGCAGGAGUUAAGAGAGUUCAUUGACAAGAACCUGAAGAGAGGGUUCAUCAGAGAGUCCAGGGCGGUGGGGGGCAGCCCAGUGUUUUUGUGGAUAAGAAAAACACGAACAAGCCGAGGCUGGUGUGUGACUUCAGGGCCUUAAAUGCAGUGUCAGAACCAGUAGCCUUCCCUAUGCCCAGGAUUGACGACAUUUUGACAAGGGUGCGGAAGGGAAAGAUUUUUACAAAGCUGGACCUAAGGGGGGCGUACAACCUGGUACGAAUAAGGAAGGGGGAUGAAUGGAAAACCACUAUGUUCACCCCUUUAGGGGCAUUUGAAUAUUUGGUUAUGCCCUUCGGCCUACAAGCAGGCUCCGCAACAUUUCAAUCGUUUAUGAACCACGUCCUGGGGCCUUUGCUUUACAAGAAUUGUGUGGCCUUUUUAGACGACGUGUUGGUGUAUUCUGAGAAUGAGGAGCAGCAUGUGAGAGACGUCAGAGAAGUGUUGAGCAGGCUGCAAGCCAACCAGCUGUGGGUGAAACUGGAGAAGUGUCAGUUUCAUACCAAGGAGGUGGAAUUCCUGGGGUAUCGCCUGUCAGACAAGGGAUUGGCCAUGGAUCCCGGCAAGGUCCAGGCUGUGCUGGAAUGGAAAACACCCAAAACAAAGAAGGAUGUGCAGAGGUUCCUAGGAUUUGGGAACUUCUAUCGUAAGUUCAUCCGAAACUUUGCCCACCUGACGGCGCCCAUUACGGACUGUCUCAGCAGUAAGAAGAAGUUCGUGUGGACUGAGGAGGCGGAGCGAGCAUUUGAGGAACUAAAAAGGGCCUUCGCCUCGGAACAACAACUCCUGCAUGUGGAUUUACAAAAACCGAUGAGAGUGGAAACUGACGCAUCAGACAGAGCGAUUGGGGCGGUGCUUCUGCAGCCAGGCAAGAAGGGGUCAGAGUGGAGACCGUGUGCCUUUUUUCGCGAAAGCUGAACAAAUCCGAGAGGAACUACACGGUGUAUGACCGAGAACUACUAGCCAUUCAUGAGGCGUUCCGGAGAUGGAGGCACCUGCUAAUUGGCGCACAACAUAAGGUGCAAGUGUGCACUGACCACAAGAACCUAGAGUAUUGGAGGACGGCACGAGUGCUCAACCAACGGCAAGUGAGAUGGGCCCAGGAGUUCUCCAAAUUUAACUUUGAGAUUAGUUACGUGCCAGGCCCAGAGAACAUUAGGGCGGACGCUCUCUCACGCAAACCUGAAUAUUUGGAAGGGGAGGGGGCACCCGAAGAGAGACAUGUCAUUCCAGAAGACCGCUGGGUGUGUGGGGCGGCAUUGGUGGGACAAAGAGAACUGGUAGAGGAAACAGAGAAUGAUGAAUACGCCCAGAAUAAGCUCAGAGGUCUUAGGGGUGAUGGAGAGGAACCAGGGGUUUCGAGGAAAGAAAUGGAGCUUUGUAUUACAAAGGGGCACUGUAUAUCCCUGAAGGAGAGUUAAGGGGAGGGUACUCAAGCAGUUGCACGACAGCCCUACGGCGGGGCAUUUUGGACAACACAAAACCAUGUGGUUGGUCACCAGGGAAUUUUGGUGGCCUAAGGUGAGGGAAGAUGUACGUGAGUAUGUAAGAGGGUGCGAGCAAUGCCAGCGAGCCAAAGGGGAAAGGCGGGCGCCGGCGGGGCUAUUAGAACCCUUACCAACCCCAGAACGACCUUGGGAGGCAGUGUCGAUAGAUUUUAUGACUGAUCUGCCGAAGUCCAAAGGGAAAACAGCCAUCAUGGUGGUGGUAGACCUACUAACAAAGAUGUGCCACUUUGUAGCUUGCUCGCAUGCAGUCACGGCGGAAGAGACAGCGAAGUUAUUUGUAGAAAACAUUUUUAGGUUGCACGGGGUGCCAUUGAGGGUGGUCUCAGACCGAGGAAAACAAUUUACUUCCAGGUUCUGGAGGAAGCUCAUGAGCUUACUGCAGGUGGAGGUCAAUUUUUCGACUGCCCGGCACCCUGAAACCAACGGGCAGGCGGAAAGAGCAAACGGUGUCCUCCAGCAAUACCUGAGGUGUUAUGUCAAUGACAGAGAGAAUGACUGGGUAGAAAAGUUGGCGCUGGCGGAAUUUGCCUACAACAAUGCCGAGAAUGUGUCCACAGGGAUGAGCCCUUCUUGGCUAAUUAUGGGUGUCAUCCCAGGGCUUUCCCAGGGGAGAGGGGAGAGAUGGAGCGUCCCGGCAGCCGAGCAUUUUGUGGAAGAAAUGGAAGCAAUCCAUCGUCAGCUCCAACUCAACUUAGAAAGGGCGAAGGAAGAAUACAAGAGGCAGGCAGACAAGAACCGAAGGGAAGGUGAAACCAUAAGGGUGGGAGAUAGGGUGUGGCUGUCAACCCAAGGGAUGCCGUUCAAAGGAGGUUGUAAGAAAUUAAGACCCAGGAGGUUGGGUCCCUUUGAGGUCAUUCAACAGGUCAACCCAGUGGCUUUCAGGCUCCGGUUACCCAACCACAUGAAACUGCACCCAGUAUUUCACAGGUCGUUACUGUCACCGUACGAAGGGGGACGAGAAGGGCUGGCCACUCGGGAACCGGUCGUAGAAGAAAGAGAAUGCAGCAGCCAUGUGGCAGAAAUCCUCGACGCCAGGUGGAAGGGGGAUCAGGUGGAGUAUUUGGUAGCGUGGGAAGGAGAACCGGAGUCAGAAAACACUUGGGUAAUGGCUGAAGAUAUCAAUGACGAGGUAUUGAUAGAAACGUUCCAUCAAAGGUUCCCAAGGAAACCUCAGCCUGUGGAGAGGUUCCGGAGGGAAUACUUUGGGACCACUGAUGAAGGGGAGGAGUUGGAAGGAUUCCCGGACUCGGAAGGGGAAGGGGAGAUGGACUCUGAGGAGGAGGUGUACUCGAGACCAGGAACCGCAACAGGUUGAGAGAAGUGUUCGAGACAUCGGAAGAUGAAGGAAGUUCAUUCCGGGUUUUGCCUCCUCACCGCCCGUAGAGGAGGGGGCGAGAGGGGGUGAAGGGGGCCCUGGAGGGGAGGUGGAUGUCAGGGAACUGCCAUCGGACGGAAGGGAGGUGAAAGGGCUCACACAGGUUGGGAGAGACGCAGCAGCUGAAGAGGAAACCAACAGGGAGGUGAAAGGGCUCACACAGGUUGGGAGAGACGCAGCAGCUGAUGAGGGAACCAGCAGGGGNNNNNNNNNNNNNNNNNNNNNNNNNNNNNNNNNNNNNNNNNNNNNNNNNNNNNNNNNNNNNNNNNNNNNNNNNNNNNNNNNNNNNNNNNNNNNNNNNNNNCCACUGUCGGAAUCUGCUAGUGACUAGAGUAGCCAUGUCUGAGGGGCUCUGUCACAGACAGAGGUUUGUGGACUUGAACAAACUCUGAGGGGAUACGAUUUUACGCACAAGCAGCUCAUCAUCCCAUCACAGGUGCGUAUUAGGAGCAUUGCACUAAAAUGAUGUUGAAUUUUACGAGGACUGUAAAAAAGAAGAAGCCAAGUCAUAGCAACGGCAUGAUUUGAAAAAUAAGGAGACAUGACAAACCAAAAUGCACAGAAUCAUCCACCUCUAGCUCCAAUUGUAAUAAAAUGAUUAUUACAGACCCUGAGAUCGGCAUCUGAGACCCUUCUUCGUGUGCCUUCUCCACAAGAGGUCUGGAGCCUAGCAACAUGAGAACGGGCCUUUUCUUUUCUUUUUUCAAAAAGUACCUAUACAUGCAUUAAGCAUUGUGAGACAUAAAUAAAAGAGAGAAAGAGAGAAGCAGGGCCUUUUCUGGGGUGGCUCCCCAUUUGUGGAAUGCUUGCCCCAGGGAGGCUCGCCUGACACCUUCAUUACAGAUCUUUAGGUGCCAGGCAAAAACAUUCCUCUUCUCCCAGGCCAUUGGCUAAUUAAACAAUCUAUGGCCGUUUAACUGUGUGUGUGUGAUUGCUUGUUACUGUGGUAUGUAUUUUUGUGUUUUUAUAUUGUAAACUGCCUUGUGACCCUCUGAUGGAGAGCGGCUUAUAAAUUUAAUAAAUGAAUGAAUAAAUGAUGCUGGGAUUGUAUGCACACUCACUUGGGAUUUUUUCUCUUGAGCUUAGUAAAGCAUACUUUUGAGCAUUUCUGAUUGGGCUAAAUGUUUUGCUCCUUUGAAACUGCUUCUUCCCACGUUUGUUUUAAAUGCUGAUUUCUCAGCCUCAUCUAAGCGGCAGUUAUUUAUUUUUUUCCCCUGUAACAUUUUUACAAAUCCAUUUCAUUUGUUGAGGCAUUAUGGGGAG